UACAGAGGGUGCAGGCGUUGUUCGGAAUUAUUGGGCGUAAAGAGCUCGUAGGCGGUCUGUCGCGUCGGCUGUGAAAACUCGGGGCUCAACCCCGAGCCUGCAGUCGAUACGGGCAGACUAGAGUGCUGUAGGGGAGACUGGAAUUCCUGGUGUAGCGGUGAAAUGCGCAGAUAUCUGGAGGAAUACCGGUGGCGAAGGCGGCAUCCUGGACCGAGAUUGACGCUGAUGAGCGAAAGCUAGGGGAGCAAACGGG
rnacentral:rRNA from 1 species